rnacentral:rRNA from 1 species
UACGUAGGUGGCAAGCGUUAUCCGGAAUUAUUGGGCGUAAAGAGCUCGUAGGCGGUUUGUCGCGUCUGCCGUGAAAGUCCGGGGCUCAACUCCGGAUCUGCGGUGGGUACGGGCAGACUAGAGUGAUGUAGGGGAGACUGGAAUUCCUGGUGUAGCGGUGAAAAUGCGCAGAUAUCAGGAGGAACACCGAUGGCGAAGGCAGGUCUCUGGGCAUUAACUGACGCUGAGGAGCGAAAGCUGGGGAGCGAACAGG